rnacentral:rRNA from 1 species
CGUCGCUACUACCGUUUGAAUUGCUUAGUGCGGUCUCCGGACGCGAUUAUUUUAUGUGCUUCGGACAUUUCGCAAAAGUUGAUCGAACUUGAUCACUUAAACAUGGUAAAAGUCGUA